GCGCGGCCGCCGUGAAUUCUUUAGCUAAACGGCCCUAAACCGAAUCCCAUUCAUUUUCAAUGGUAGUGCUAAAACACUACGGAUGCAAUAUAUUUUCGGCCACUGGCGCUCUCGCGGCGCACUUCCGUGUUUUGCAUAGCCGGGAAAUUUGAGUCAUUUUAACUUCCUCGUUGGAAAGACAACUCUGCAAUCCUGCUUUACUUCUCAAAGGUCAUCAUGCACAAAAAGGUAGUUUUCUCCCAGAAAGGGCUAAAGUUGCAUUCUGUAAGGCACUACUGGGUUAUCUUCUUCAGGAACCAACUGACCAGGCCAGGGUUAUCAAAAACAACCCGUCUCUGAAGGACAAAUCAGCACCAAUAAAGGAGGAGCUUGUUAGACAAAAUGCUUUGACUGUGGUACUUCAAGGAGGAGGUGAUGCAUCAGACAAAAAAUAAGUAUUUGGUGAAUACAUUCUGCAGUUUGGCAAACGCAACACAGAAUUAUAAGCUGCAGCAAUACCUACUGAGACAGCAGCAACAGUCAGGUGACUGUUCAUCUGUGGUUACCCACAGAAAUGGAUGAAGACACAGAGUUUGAGUGUUCAAUGCUGAGCAUCACCCCCUCUAAACUACAGGUACCAUCAUCAUCAUCCUCAACAACUGAAGUGAGAUGCUCUAUGGAAAAAGGAAAAGGGUUUCGUUUUGGCCAUGUUUCAUUAACAAUAGUGUGUGUGCCGUUGGCAUUAUACUAACAGUUCAGGAGGCUGUAGAUUGAUUUCAUCCCUAUCAUGAAUUGAUACAAACCCUGUUCAGGAACCUCCUGCUUUCCUAUCAAAGCCUUGUGAUGACACUAUAAAGUCACCAGUCUAUGAGCUGAUGUUUCUUGAGUAAGAACCAUCACCUUUCACACAAUCAAAGAAAAGUGUUUCAGCUACAGGAGAGCACAGCGUUGUAGACAACUUUCUUGCACGCAGGACACUUAUUUUUGAGGACUGUGGCAAAAACGUUUUUAGAAACUCUCUCAUCUUCAGGAACCACAUCACGUAGUGUCCCACAAACAGCAGAGGCAUCACAUGAUCCAUGAUCCUCUGCUUCUGGUUCUUCUGUGCGCAGCCCACCAUCUCUGCAUUAGAAAGUUCAAAACACAUGAACCCUUUCUAAAGCUUCUCCACAUCUUCCUGACUAUGAUCAUGAUGUGCUUCACUGGAAUUGUUCUCAUCAGCAGAGGACCUGGAUGAAAACAUAGCUGGAAUAAAUGGGUCUAUGGCCAGGCUCCACUCCUGUGAGCAACCCUAUGAAGACCGUGUCACUGUGGCGUUUACCUCCUCAGCCAGAGCUGAUAGACACAGCCAUGUACCAGGGCCUAGCAAACCAGUACAAAAUUGCAGAUGUGGAGAAGGCACAGUACCAGUGUGUAGACAGGUGAGGUGUUUUAGGCUCAAUGGAUCACUGGCACACGUGUUUCCUCGGAGCUGUUUCAAACACAGGGGAUGAUUGGAGUGGCCCGCUGAAACGUCUGGUGGACCUAAAACCAUUGGGUGUUAAUCUCCCUGGUAUCCAACAAAGAUUCUCAGGAGAGGUUUGAGUUUGUUGAACCUGGAUGUCGUCCUGUUGUGCUUUAUUGGAGAAAGCACAGGAGCAAGACAGAUCUGCCUUUGCAUCCAGCUAAGCGUAGCCCAAGCCCACUGCCCAGGCUGGAGACCUUUCUGCUGAUCUUGUUGUGCCAUCAAGUCAUGAUGAGCCAGGGUCAGGAUUACCACCAUUGAUGUGCCCUUGCUGUCCUCAUAUCAUUGUGCUGAUGUAGAGCUGCAGUCAAAACCAGGUUGUUGAUGAAAGUGCUAUUAUUCUUGUUGAAUCCAUUGACGUGCUGCCUGUGCCAUCGGUGUCAUUGCCUUAAAGUGCCUGCAUAAAGCCUCAGACAGAGAUAGAAACCACACAUAUUCCCCUGCUGCCCGUAGUGGCCUCACCUGCAAAGGCCCGUACCGGACUAGUGAAGACUGGUGGGAGGGUGUUUGUUCUAGACCACAAACGAUGGACAUCCCCAAUGAAGGAGGCCAUUGACAAAUUGCUUAACAAACAUCAUGAGAAGAAGGACGUCCUUAAGCUUGUGGAUCAGCAGUAUGCAGCAAUGGUUCAAAACUCCUGCACUGAUCCAAACACCAUGCUCCAUCUAAAAACUAAACUACACAUUUCACAAUAUAUUAAGCACUAAGCCAAACUGCUGAACACCAGUUCUUUUUUAAACACCAGUGAUGAGAAACUUAAUCAGAGACAGCACCUCUGACACUCCCUGACAGAGGGGAGUGAGACCACCAGUGUGCCAGUGGUAACAAUGAACUCUGCCAUUCCAAACCCACCUGCACCUGCUCUGACCACACCAAUUACUCAAGAGACCAUCGAGAAAGUAGUUGAGGGUAUUAUGGAGAGGAAUCAACAACAACAACAGCCAGAGCAGAAGAAAAAGCAGACAAAGAUGUGUCUUGCCUGUGGACAGCCAAAGUCUCAUUAUGAUAGAGAUGGCUUCUCUAUUAAUUUUUUUAUCAGCAAGCCCCUGUUGGGUAUUUUUACUGCUCUACAAAGGUGUUUAAAGCUUAUAGCAUUGAGUGACUAACAAUGAGUAACAUUCCCUUGGCAAGACAUUUUGCUUGUGUGUGUACUUUUAUUGAAAGGGUUAAUAAAACAAAACAUUCUUUGAAACAUG